UACGUAGGGUGCAAGCGUUUGUCCGGAAUUAUUGGGCGUAAAGAGCUCGUAGGCGGUCUGUCGCGUCUGCUGUGAAAUCUCAAGGCUCAACCUUGAGCUUGCAGUGGGUACGGGCAGACUAGAGUGUGGUAGGGGAGACUGGAAUUCCUGGUGUAGCGGUGAAAUGCGCAGAUAUCAGGAGGAACACCGAUGGCGAAGGCAGGUCUCUGGGCCACUACUGACGCUGAGAAGCGAAAGCAUGGGGAGCGAACAGG
rnacentral:rRNA from 1 species